UCCCAAACAACCUCCUUGAUUCGCUCUCAAUCCGUUCCCAUUUUUCAACUCUCUUUCUCUUUGCUUUCUUUCUCUGAGCCGCAGAAAGCAGAAGCAGCAUGGGGUCUAUGGAGCAGACAAUUCUGGUGACCGGCGGCGCGGGGUUCAUAGGGAGCCACACGGUGAUUCAGCUGCUCGAGGCGGGGUUUAGGGUUUCCGUCAUUGAUAAUCUCGAUAACUCCGUUGCUGAAGCUGUUGAUCGCGUCAGGGACUUGGUCGGCCCCAAGCUCUCUCAGAAACUCCACUUUCAGCUGGUAAUUCUAGCAUUGGAUUACUCUGUUUGGUUGCCGAGAAAAUUAGGGAAAUGAAACGGAAAAUAAUUUUGAACUUCUUUGCUCUUCUGUUCUUGUUAGUGUGUUAGUGUCGGUUGGAUGACGAGAUCUCUUUUAUGCUUAGUAGACUAGCGGCUUUAGCUUCGCAUCGCUCUGUUUGGUUCCCAAGAAAAUUAGGGAAAUCAGGACUGGAGAAAGAAAAUUUUGACUUGUUAAUUCUCUUUUUCUGAUUUAGUCAACUAUCUAGGUUCGGUUGGAUUAUGACUGAUCACUUUAGAUAUUUAAAUGACAGAGCUAGAGAAAUAUCCGCUUUUCUAUUAGUUUUCUGUGAACUUUUUGCCCUGUUUGGUUCCUGAGAAAGCCUGUGAAACUGAUUUCUUGGUUUCUUGAUCCUUCCAAUUAAUUAAUAAAUAUUGGCAAUAAAAUUCCUCUGUUUUUGUAUUUUAUUAAAUUCCAACGGUUUCUUAGAAGGCCAAAACUGCGUUUUGUGUUUUGGCUUUGGUGUUAUUCUCACUAAUCAAAUUGGUAAUAUCUGUGUGCAGGGCGAUCUCAGAAAUAAGGACGAUUUGGAGAAGCUGUUUUCUCAAACUAAGUCAGUAAUUUUUUUUAUUAGCAUCUAAGUAUGUCAUUAUAAUGUUUAGGUAUUGACAUUUCUGCUGGAUAACGUGACAGGUUUGAUGCUGUAAUCCACUUUGCUGGCCUAAAAGCUGUAGGAGAAAGCGUUGCACACCCGCACCGUUAUUAUGAUAACAAUUUGGUUGGAACUAUUAAUCUUUACGCGGUCAUGGCGAAAUACAAUUGUAAAAAGGUUUGCUUCUGUUUUCUCAGUUCUGCAGUGGAGCCUCAAAUUAGGUUGCGAUAUUUUGUUUCCCGUAUGUUAGGAUCAGUGUAUAACCAACCACAAGAAGUGCAUGGUUUACUAACCGAAUGAAUAUGAUGUUUUCUGAGUGUAGAUGGUUUUUUCAUCAUCUGCAACUGUGUAUGGGCAACCUGAAAAAAUUCCAUGUGUUGAGGAUUUCAACCUUGUAGCUUUGAAUCCAUAUGGCCGUACCAAGGUAUACACCAUGUCUUUCUCCCGCAAUCGUUGAAUUCUCGUUUUGGGUUAAAACUGGGAUAAAAGGGAUGCAUCCUUUGUCUUCUCUAACAUCAAAUUUACUCUUACUAGCUUUUCCUUGAAGAAAUUGCUCGAGAUAUGCAAAAUGCAGACCCAGAUUGGCAAAUUAUUCUGCUGAGGUACUUCAAUCCUGUCGGGGCUCAUGAGAGUGGGAAAAUUGGUGAAGAUCCCAAAGGCAUCCCAAACAACCUAAUGCCGUACAUACAGCAAGUAGCUGUUGGAAGAUUGCCUGAGCUUAAUGUCUAUGGUCAUGAUUAUCCCACCAAGGAUGGUACUGCGGUAUGUAAAAUCCAUUAAGAUUUUCUUUUGUUUAAGACAAUUGGGCAAGAGUGGUAAGAAUUCACUUAGUUGUUUAUUGACCUCCAUCUACUACGAGUCCUCUGUUGAAUCUAGUUAGCUUGGUCUGCAUAUGUUCCACUCAUAGCAUCGUCUUUAAUCAUG
rnacentral:lncRNA from 1 species